rnacentral:lncRNA from 8 species
AAUGCCCACCCCACAUCACACCCUGACCUAACCCUAAAAAAAGAGAAAAUAAACGUCAAUCUAAGGUCAGGGCGUGACAGUACCCCCCCAAAGGUGCGGACUCCCGGCCGCCAACCUGAACCUAUAGGGGAGGGUCCGGGUGGGCAUCUACUCUUGGUGGCGGCUCUGGUUCGGGGCGUAGCCCCCACUCUGCCCGCUGAUCCCUCCGCUUUUGUGUCUCCGGAGGAACCAGACCAUGGAUCAUCGCCGAAGGCUCAGAACUGGAAACCCCCGCUGGAGGUUCUGGACUGCCGACCACCGCUGGAGACUCUAGACUGCGGACCGCCGCUGAAGACUCCGGACUGCGGACCGCCGCUGGAGACUCCAGACUGCGGACCGCCGCUGGAGACUCCGGACUGGGGAACGUCGCUGGAGGCUCCGGACUGGGGAACGUCGCUGGAGGCUCCGGACUGGGGAACGUCGCUAGAGGCUCCGGACUGGGGAACGUCGCUGGAGGCUCCGGACUGGGGAACGUCGCUGGAGGCUCCGGACUGGGGAACGUCGCUGGAGGCUCCGGACUGGGGAACGUCGCUGGAGGCUCCGGACUGGGGAACGUCGCUGGAGGCUCCGGACUGGGGAACGCCCCUGGAGACUCCGGACUGCGGACCGCCGCUGGAGACUCCGGACUGCGGACCGCCGCUGGAGACUCCGGACUGGGGAACGUCGCUGGAGACUUCGGACUGGGGAACGUCGCUGGAGGCUUCGGACUGGGGAAUGUUGCUGGAGACUCUGGACUGUAGGCAUUCUCAGGAGGUUCCGGACUGUAGGCCAUCUCAGGAGGUUCCGGACUGUGGACCGUUGCUGCAGGCUCCGUGCCGUGGACCGUUGCUGCAGGCUCCGUGCCAUGGAUCAUCCCUACAGGCUCCGGGCCAUGGAUCAUCCCUACAGGCUUCUUGCCAUGGAUUAUCACUGGAGGCUUCGUGCCAUGGAUCAUCCCUACAGGCUCCGGGCCAUGGAUCAUCACUGGAGGCUUCGUGCCAUGGAUCAUCACUGGAGGCUUCUUUACGUGGAGCCGGAACAGGUCUCACCGGACUGGGGAGAUGCACUGGAGACUGGGUGCGCAGAGCAGGCACAGGGUAUACUGGGCCGUGGAGGCGCACUGGAGGUUUGGAGCUUAGGGCUGGCACCACCCGUCCUGGCUGUAUGCUUACUUUAGCCCGGCAAGUGCAGGGCACGGUCACAGGACGAAUUGGGCUGUGCAGGCGCACUAGCGACACAGUGCGUAGAACUGGCGCAGGAUACACUGGGCCUUGGAGGCGCACUGGAGGUCUGGAGCUUAUGACUGGCACAACCCGUCCUGGCUGGAUACCCCCCGUAGCCCGGCAAGCGCGGGGUGUUGGAACAGGUCGCACAGGUUUGUGCUGGCGAACUGGGGGUACCGUGCGUAGAGCUGGUGCAGGAUAA